AUGAACGCUGGCGGCGUGCCUAAUACAUGCAAGUCGAGCGAACGGACGAGAAGCUUGCUUCUCUGAUGUUAGCGGCGGACGGGUGAGUAACACGUGGAUAACCUACCUAUAAGACUGGGAUAACUUCGGGAAACCGGAGCUAAUACCGGAUAAUAUUUUGAACCGCAUGGUUCAAAAGUGAAAGACGGUCUUGCUGUCACUUAUAGAUGGAUCCGCGCUGCAUUAGCUAGUUGGUAAGGUAACGGCUUACCAAGGCAACGAUGCAUAGCCGACCUGAGAGGGUGAUCGGCCACACUGGAACUGAGACACGGUCCAGACUCCUACGGGAGGCAGCAGUAGGGAAUCUUCCGCAAUGGGCGAAAGCCUGACGGAGCAACGCCGCGUGAGUGAUGAAGGUCUUCGGAUCGUAAAACUCUGUUAUUAGGGAAGAACAGAUGUGUAAGUAACUGUGCACAUCUUGACGGUACCUAAUCAGAAAGCCACGGCUAACUACGUG
rnacentral:rRNA from 1 species